UAAAAGCAAUCGAAUUGGCCUCUCCUCAAGACAUGUAUUGUUUUCUCCUGGAGGGUCUGUAAAUCUGAACAGAACAGCAGGAUUUGGAACUCUGCAAGACUUGCUGGAUAACUUGGUGUCCUCCCCAGUUCCAGAUUUUGUACGAACCAAAGUAGAAGAUCACCUACAGUCUCUUAUACACUGCAUAAUAAGUGCUGCUCUUGGUUUGCGUAUUCCACUUUAUCUUCCGGUAUUAUAAGCAUUGUGACUGGCUGUGGCGAGUCAUACUGUCUAGUUCUUGUCAUUUCACAUGACAUUUCCUCAAGACAGAUGUAAAAGAUGUAGGAAAUUAAAUACUCUUUUGUUUUAUUGACUCUUGUGUAAUUACUUCACUGCGUUUCAGUGACAUAGUUUGUUAUGUUACACAUGCCAGUAAAUAUGAAGUUAUAAAAUACACAUACUUCUCAGGCAAGCAACCUAUUGCACUCAUAGGUGAGCCAUUUUAUCCAGAAAUUUAAUAUAAAUUAACAAAUGUAUAAUAUUUGUGGUAAGUGAAACAUUGCCUUUCAACAUAUGUUUGAAAGGUGGUCAAUUCUCACAUUUUGUUACUAGUAUUACUUUUUUCAAAUAAUCUAGUCAAUAAAAAUUUAAUGUGUAA